rnacentral:rRNA from 1 species
UACGUAGGUGGCAAGCGUUAUCCGGAAUUAUUGGGCGUAAAGAGCGCGCAGGUGGUUAAUUAAGUCUGAUGUGAAAGCCCACGGCUUAACCGUGGAGGGUCAUUGGAAACUGGUUGACUUGAGUGCAGAAGAGGGAAGUGGAAUUCCAUGUGUAGCGGUGAAAUGCGUAGAGAUAUGGAGGAACACCAGUGGCGAAGGCGGCUUCCUGGUCUGCAACUGACACUGAGGCGCGGAAGCGUGGGGAGCAAACAGG